UAGAACCCGGGCCCCCUGCAUUGGGAGCGCAGAGUCUUAGCCACUGGACCACCAGGGAAGUCCCUAGAAUGCUUUAAAUCACUGGAAUAGUUCAGGCUGAUAAUAAGAUGAGAUGAUACACUGGGGGUGGGUAAGGAGAAGAAAGAAUCCAAUUCUACCUCAAAGUCCUGUAAUCUUACUUUCUGACCCAGAAUCAGACUCUUGACCUUACAAAGGUCAGAUGCCCACAUCUAGAGUCUGCCCUUUCCAAGCUGGCCAUGCAUUUCGUGAUGAUAGGCAGCAUCCAUAGCUGCCCCUCUGGGCACGCUCGUCCAGCCAGAGCCCCUCUGUACAGGGACACCAGUGGUAAAGCCCUGCAGGCAGUAGGAUCAUGCCUGGUGUGGACUUUGGCUAGAAGCAAGCCAAAGACAUAAAUAUUGGCAGGGUGGAGAUGAUGCUUUUCCAGGCUGGUCACGGGCCCCAGACCUUCGUCAGUUAGAUGGCAUUUUUAUGGUUCAUUUUAGAGCCUGGACUUGGAGUUCAGGGCAGAACUCUGCUUCCCGUCUCCUCCUCUCCAGGUACACACACAGUGCUUACUUUGCUUCUGUGUCUAAGGAGUGUCGUCAUCCCCACCCCGUGCAGUACUUUACAGCGUAGGAACGCCGGCUCAGUUUGGUGCUCCAGCAUCAACCAUGUGCUGGGCGCUGUUCUGAGUGCUUUACAUCCACCUCAUCUUAAUCACCAGCAGCCCUGCGACAACAGCCCUGCUGUGGCCCCCAAGUUGUGGGUGUAGAAGCCAAGGCAACGGGGCAGUCACACAGGAAUGCAGAGGGGGGCUGGGACUUCAGUAAGGCAGUUUGGCUCGAGUGUUUUUUCUCAGCUGAUAACGUAAUUCUGGCUGUACAAGGUGCUCUCACCCUGUUUGAGCUGGACAGCAAACCUGUGAGCAAGGCAAUACAGGUAUAUUAUUCUUAUUCCUAUCACUAGAUGGGAAAUUAAAGCUCAGAAACUGUCUGAGUUCAGAACUCAUGGUUUCAGUGGCAAAGCUGGAACAACUACUGGAGACUUCUCUCACCAGAGCCCACGGCAGGGCAUUCUUCAGAGGGCUGGCAAUAGCUCCUCCCUAUCUGCCCUCAGCGCGACCGGGAGCCCCCUGCGCAGACCUGCCCUCUAAUUUCCACAUGUUCUCACCCACCCCGGGAGCCAGAGGGUUCGCCUGAGCAAAUCUUCACGAUGCCAGACCAGGCCUGAUGUGAAACAAGUAAUGGAUGCUCACUGGGGACUAGUCAGCCCUGCUCUGUCGUGGAAGGUGGAAGGAUGCUGGGCCCUCCUGAGUCUUCCCUGGUCCCACUCAACUCAAGCUAAUCACUCCUCCCUUCAAACUCCCCACUGUGCUUUGCAUUUUCUUAUAGUUAUUUGUGCCAUUCCCUUACUCAGCGGUGCCAUUCCUGAGGACUCCUGAGUGCCAUUCCUUAUCUCAGGGGGCAUCUGGCAUGGUGCAAAGCGGUAGGCAUGCGCUGCUCCAAGGGACCCUGCCUCCCCUGAGCUGUUCUGCAUCAUUUGAUCUAGACUUGCAGGUACCCUCGCUGGUGAGCACUGUGAGAAAGGCUGGAAGCUGAGGAGAUACAUGCCCUAAUGCAGCCCGCCAAAAAGGAGGGACACGUGGCGGUGUUUCCGGAUGCAGGUACCCCGGCCUGCCUACUUGCCUGUGGGGAGACGGAGCCACAACCAAAACCAGCUUCCGAGACCUGAAACCAGAAGGUGAGCCUCCUCAUGGCACCUUCCGCCCCUGCGUCCAGACGUCCUCCUGAGAAAGGACAGCCCACUUGCUGGCAGGGGCUCGUCAGGAACUACAGCUCCCAGCAGACACCGAGAGGGGACGCUGUGCCCCUAGUGCCCGUUCCAGAUUCCCAAAUAUGGAGAAGGACUGGGUUGGGGAAGAGGAGCCGAAUGUUCCCCCUUGAGAGAGGGAGAGAGGGGGAGGAUGAGAUCAGGAGCAUGUUGGCUGCUGGCACCUGUCCCAGACUGUGUCAGAUGGGGCCCUGUCCCCAUCCAUCCCAGCUCCCCACUGAAGCAGGGAGGGGCUACGAAACCUCAGCAACGGCCUAGAGCAGGGCCAGCGCUCAAAGGCUCUGCAGGAGAAGAGUUUGGACCUGAAGAGCUGUCCUGAGGUGGUGGACAGAGCCCUCGUCUGGGCAGGAGUGUCCAGGUUCUUUUUCUGGUUAAUGCAGGACAAGCUACUUACCCUCUGAUCCUCAGUUCCUUUAUCAAGGAAAGGCAGUGGGAUGGGAUAGAGGAAUUAGGAUGAGUAAAUGCCCACUGUACUGACCUCACUAAGUUACAAAGACAAAACGGAACCCUGAAUAAAUAAGUCACCAAAUAUA